AGUAAAUUGGUUAAGUUAGAAAGGGCGCACGGUGGAUGCCUUGGCACUAGGAGCCGAAGAAGGACGGGACUAACACCGAUAUGCUUUGGGGAGCUGUACGUAAGCGUUGAUCCAGAGAUUUCCGAAUGGGGGAACCCACUAUCUUUAGUCGGAUAGUAUCCUUACGUGAAUACAUAGCGUGAGGAAGGCAGACCCAGG
rnacentral:rRNA from 1 species